rnacentral:rRNA from 1 species
GCGAUUUCGCCGUGCUUACCAUGCAAGUCGAACGAUGAACCCGAAGCUUGCUUUGGGGGAUUAGUGGCGAACGGGUGAGUAACACGUGAGCAACCUGCCCCUCACUCUGGGAUAAGCGCUGGAAACGGCGUCUAAUACUGGAUACGAGACGCGACCGCAUGGUCAGUGUCUGGAAAGAUUUUUUGGUGGGGGAUGGGCUCGCGGCCUAUCAGCUUGUUGGUGAGGUAAUGGCUCACCAAGGCGUCGACGGGUAGCCGGCCUGAGAGGGUGACCGGCCACACUGGGACUGAGACACGGCCCAGACUCCUACGGGAGGCAGCAGUGGGGAAUAUUGCACAAUGGGCGGAAGCCUGAUGCAGCAACGCCGCGUGAGGGAUGACGGCCUUCGGGUUGUAAACCUCUUUUAGCAGGGAAGAAGCGAAAGUGACGGUACCUGCAGAAAAAGCACCGGCUAACUACGUGCCAGCAGCGGCGGUAAUACUG